rfam:Oryza nivara chromosome 8, whole genome shotgun sequence.
UAUAAGUAUAGUUCUGCAUAUCCAAUAUUUGACUGUUCGUUUUAUUUGAAAUUUUUUUAUGAUUAGUAUUUUUGUUGUUAUUAGACGAUAAAACAUGAAUAGUACUUUAUGUGUGACUUUUUUCUAUUUUUUCAUAUUUUUUUAAUAAGACGGACGGUCAAACGUUGAAUACGGAUUUCCACGGCCGUACUUAUU